rnacentral:rRNA from 1 species
AUGCGGAAGAGAUAAGUGCUGAAAGCAUCUAAGCACGAAACUUGCCCCGAGAUGAGUUCUCCCUGAGACUUAGAGUCUCCUGAAGGAACGUUGAAGACGACGACGUUGAUAGGCCGGGUGUGUAAGCGCAGCGAUGCGUUGAGCUAACCGGUACUAAUGAACCGUGAGGCUUAACCUU